AAAUUAUUGGAGUCUUUCCCUUUAGGUUUGCUUUUGAGUUUGUAAAAGAAUUCGAAAACAUCUAAAGGGGAUGGUCAAUAAUUUUUUUUGAAAAAAGACAUUUUUUGAAAUUAAACUUUUUGUAUUCAUUUGUCUAAAAAUUAUUUUUAUAAUAUAAAAACAACUUUUGACAAUGGAUCUCUUGGUUCUCGCAACGAUGAAGAACGCAGCAAAAUGCGAUAAGUAGUGUGAAUUGCAGAAUACGGAAUCAUCGAAUCUUUGAACGCAUAUUGCACUUUUUAGUUUACUAAAAAAGUAUGUCUGUUUGAGUAUCAGUAAAUAUUCUCAUAAAAAUCAUUGUGUAUUUUUAUGGUUAUGAGUGUUUUACAACGAUACAAGUUGUUUCACUUUAAAUUUUUUUUUAAUAUUGAAAUUUUUCUAAUUUUAAUAAUUAAAGUUGGAUAAAAUUUUCCCGUCAAAAGGAAUAACCUAAACAAUUUUAAAUGAUUAAUUUUAGCAAAAUUUCGUAAAAAAGGAAAAUUUUUAUUAAAAUAACUUGAUCUCAAAUCAGAUAAGAGUACCCGCUGAACUUAAGCAUAUCAAUAAGCGGAGGAAAAGAAACUAACAAGGAUUCCCUUAGUAACGGCGAGUGAAGCGGGAAGAGCUCAAAUUUGAAAUCUUCAAGGUUUUACCUUGACGAAUUGUAGUUUAAAGAAGUGUUUUCUGCUGAAGUUUUGGUAAAAGUUCUUUGGAAUAGGACAUCAUAGAGGGUGAGAAUCCCGUAUUUGACCAUUAUUUUCAGCUUUGUGAUACACUUUCAAAGAGUCGGAUUGUUUGGGAAUGCAGUCCAAAAUGGGUGGUAAAUUUCAUCUAAAGCUAAAUAUUGGCGAGAGACCGAUAGCGAACAAGUACCGUGAGGGAAAGAUGAAAAGAACUUUGAAAAGAGAGUUAAACAGUACGUGAAAUUGUCAAAAGGGAAGCGUUUGACACCAGUGUUGUUUUCUCGAAAAUCAAUUAAAAAUGGCUCGAUUUUGUAUUGCUGAGACCUUAAAAGCUCACUGUACAUUUUUCGUGUCUUUUUAAUGCACUUUUCGUUUAACAAGUCAACAUCAGUUUCUUUUGUUGUAAAAGGGUCAUUGGAAGGUGGCUUUCUUUCGGAGAAAGUGUUUAUAGCCUUUGGCCUCUGCAAUCGAAGAGACUGAGGUCUGCAGCGUAGACUCUUCGGGGUUAGAUACAUUCGUGCUAAGUUAUAGCUUUUUAUAGACAACUUGCUGACUAUAAUUAGUCUUGUAGCUUACUCGCUUAUGCUAUUUUACCUACGCUUAGGAUG
rnacentral:misc_RNA from 1 species